UCUCAGGUGCAGGGUCUACAAAUAAUUUUUAUUGAAAUUGAACAAAGAACACAACAGUCUUCCUAUGCUGGGGUUUACUCUCCCCAAGCCAUUUCCCACACUCUAGAAGCACAGAGCUUCCACAAAUAAGUUUUUUUUUUUAAAAGCCAUCUCUGUAUAGAAAUCAGACUCUGCCCCAACAUUAUCAUAGUCUAGACUAUUUACAAACCUUCACAUUUUAAUUACACCUGUUCUGUAUUUCCCCUUCCUUCCUAUCCUUACCAAGGAGCUCUGGUACUUUUCCUUAACAGACCCUGAAGGAGUAAGAUGCUGUAGAAGGGGUGAUGGGCUCCUCAUAGCUACUGGCACCAGCCCCAGUUGUUGUGUCUUGCCACUGGGUGGUGGACCGCCUCUCCCCCACCACUGGAGAUUUGUAGGACUGGUGCAUAGGCAAGGGAGACGACAGAAUGCGGUGGUGGGGUGGGGCAAGACCCCACAGCUACAGGCGUCUGUAGCCUGUACCCUCUCGACUUGAGGGUGACUGGUUGAAAUCAAGAGAGAUCAGUCCAGCCCUGGCUGGGUGAAAGGAGAAGCCUCCCACACUGGUCCCCAUUCUCUGUUAACAGCCAGCAAAGUGUCCGUCUUAGAGUGGGAGCACGUGGCAGGUAGGCAGGAAGGAGGAGGCUGGUACAUGUCUCCAGUCUGUCCAAUACAGGAGGAAUCGAGGUAGCAAACGGCUGAAAUGCUCUGACUACAGGUAAGGGAAUGAGGGAAAGGAAGUUCCCACUUGGGUAGAGCCCCUACAGGCCAGGGGCCGGAAGAAGGCAGACUCUGCUUGUAAAGUGCUGUAGCUUCUAGGAGGGCUGGGCCCUAGCCAAGCUUGGAAGAAAGCAGGUCAGACAAGUAACUAGGAACCAGGCAUUCCUGACCGGCAUGUGUCCUGCCAUGCUUCUUGUAGAAGUGGCUGGGGGAGACAGGCUGGUAAUUCUGUCAUUAGCUCUCACCAGCCACCAACCACUUAUUGUUCAGACAUAAACCAAUACCAGUUAACACUGAGGGACUACCCCUCUUACAACUGAAGGUUCUGGGCCAACGGAGUUUAGUUUAUUCAGGGCUGUGGCGCCAGCCUGGACUCCUGAAUGGAAGCUACACCUGGAUCCUGGGAGUUUCUUGCUGGGGCAGUGGGUGCUUGUGUCUGCCAUGCCACAGGCUCAUACUUCAUAGAGGAUCACGGGGAAAUCCACGUGGAUUCGGGGGGGAUCCAGCUUCACGAUGCCCUG
rnacentral:lncRNA from 1 species